rnacentral:rRNA from 1 species
ACGAACGCUGGCGGCGUGCUUAACACAUGCCAGUCGAGCGGAAAGGCCCUGCUUUUGUGGGGUGCUCGAGUGGCGAACGGGUGAGUAACACGUGAGUAACCUGCCCUUGACUUUGGGAUAACUUCAGGAAACUGGGGCUAAUACCGGAUAGGAGCUCCUGCUGCAUGGUGGGGGUUGGAAAGUUUCGGCGGUUGGGGAUGGACUCGCGGCUUAUCAGCUUGUUGGUGGGGUAGUGGCUUACCAAGGCUUUGACGGGUAGCCGGCCUGAGAGGGUGACCGGCCACAUUGGGACUGAGAUACGGCCCAGACUCCUACGGGAGGCAGCAGUGGGGAAUAUUGCACAAUGGGCGGAAGCCUGAUGCAGCAACGCCGCGUGCGGGAUGACGGCCUUCGGGUUGUAAACCGCUUUCGCCUGUGACGAAGCGUGAGUGACGGUAAUGGGUAAAGAAGCACCGGCUAACUACGUG